ACGAACGCUGGCGGCGUGCUUAACACAUGCAAGUCGAACGGAAAGGCCCCUUUGGGGGUACUCGAGUGGCGAACGGGUGAGUAACACGUGAGUAACCUGCCCUUGACUUCGGGAUAACUUCAGGAAACUGGGGCUAAUACCGGAUAGGAAUCCUUGCUGCAUGGUGGGGGUUGGAAAGCUUCGGCGGUUUUGGAUGGACUCGCGGCUUAUCAGCUUGUUGGUGGGGUAGUGGCUUACCAAGGCUUUGACGGGUAGCCGGCCUGAGAGGGCGACCGGCCACAUUGGGACUGAGAUACGGCCCAGACUCCUACGGGAGGCAGCAGGGGGGAAUAUUGCACAAUGGGCGGAAGCCUGAUGCAGCAACGCCGCGUGCGGGAUGACGGCCUUCGGGUUGUAAACCGCGUUCAGCAGGGGCGAAGCUUGUGGUGACGGUACCUGCAGAAGAAGCACCGGCUAACUACGUG
rnacentral:rRNA from 1 species